CUCUGGCUGAGCCACCUGGGAGCCAUUGGUUUCCCCGGAGACUAAAGACUGGCUUUUGGGAAUGGCUAAUUUGCCUUGCAUCGCUUCCUCAGGUGUUCUGCAUACCUCCGGGGCUUCUUAAUGGCCAGCCUGGGGCUCAGCCCUCCUGCUUGCCUGUUCAGCGUUGUUCCUGCUCCAGAGACUGCAUGCCAGGACAGCUUCUCUGCUGCCAGACCUUUGCCUGGUCCUUGCCCACGCUUUAUCUGCUCUUUCAUACCUCCUGGGAACAAGAGAACUGAGAAACACAAGUACUUUAAAUGCAGCAACUGUGGUGACACCAGGAAGUAAGAAUUUCAGGAAGCUGCAGAAGUGCCCUUAUCAAACAAAUUGAGAAGUCGCUGAGAGCGUUCUGCUGGAACCUCUUUGAGCGCUCUGCUGUUUGCUGAGUGAAAGGACAAAGGACUGACAAUAAGGCAGAACAUGCCACUGCGCCGCUCUCUACACCUGCCUGUCGGAGCUGCCUUGUGUGUCGCAGGUGCUGUGUUUGUGCCAUCCCCGGGCGAGCAGACGAGAGGAGCGGCCC
rnacentral:lncRNA from 1 species